rnacentral:rRNA from 1 species
CAGGAUGAACGCUAGCUACAGGCUAACACAUGCAAGUCGAGGGGCAGCAGGAUCUUAGCUUGCUAAGAUUGCUGGCGACCGGCGCACGGGUGAGUAACGCGUAUCCAACCUCCCCUUAGUAGGGCAUAGCCCGAUGAAAAUCGGAUUAAUACCCUAUGUUCUCGUAGAUGACAUCUGACAUGAAGCAAAGAUUUAUCGCUAAGGGAUGGGGAUGCGUCCGAUUAGGUAGUCGGCGGGGUAACGGCCCACCGAGCCAUCGAUCGGUAGGGGUUCUGAGAGGAAGGUCCCCCACAUUGGAACUGAGACACGGUCCAAACUCCUACGGGAGGCAGCAGUGAGGAAUAUUGGUCAAUGGGCGAGAGCCUGAACCAGCCAAGUAGCGUGCAAGGAUGACGGCCCUAUGGGUUGUAAACUGCUUUUAUGCGGGGAUAAAGUGCGCCACGUGUGGCGUUUUGUAGGUACCGCAUGAAUAAGGACCGGCUAAUUCCGUGCCAGCAGCAGC